rnacentral:rRNA from 1 species
UCGCAAUCUUCUUUGUCGAUUUGAACUCUUAAAAAAAAUUACGCUGUUAUCCCUAAGGUAACUUUUUCUUCUAAUCUAAAAUUUAGGAUCAAAAUAAUCACAAAUUAGUGAAUUAAAUAAAAAAAAGUUUAUCCAAUUUUUCUGUCACCCCAACAAAAUAAACUAACUAAUUAUAAAAAAUUUAUACCAAUAUCUUAUAAAAUCCAAUUUAUAAAGCUCUAUAGGGUCUUCUUGUCUUCUAUGAUUAUUUAAGCUUUUUCACUUAAAAAUAAAAUUCUAAAAAAUUUUCCCUGAGACAGAAACUUCCUCAUUAAUCCUUUCAUUCCAGCUUCUAAUUAAGAAACUAAUGAUUAUGCUACCUUUGCACGGUCAAUAUACCGCGGCCAUUUAAAUAUUUCAUAGGGCAGGACUGACCUUAAAUUAUUUUCAAAAGGCC